AUGUAUCAGAUCAUGGAAGGGAGGGUAAGAAAUCAGGAUUUUUGGCUUUCCUCUUACUAUUGUGGUGUGGUGAUUACACCAAGAUUUCACCACCCAAAUGUGUACACUUUCUCAUCAAAACACAUCAAGAUCAGGUCGUUACACAUUAAUAGAAAUGGAAAUUGUGAGGACAUUGAUGGUUUGCAAGCUUGGUUGAACUCCUCCAGCCUCGCAACAGUAUUAAGCUAA